rnacentral:rRNA from 1 species
GACGAACGCUGGCGGCGUGCUUAACACAUGCAAGUCGAACGGAAAGGCCCUGCUUUUGUGGGGUGCUCGAGUGGCGAACGGGUGAGUAAUACGUGAGUAACCUGCCCUUGACUUUGGGAUAACUUCAGGAAACUGGGGCUAAUACCGGAUAGGAGCUCCUGCUGCAUGGUGGGGGUUGGAAAGUUUCGGCGGUUGGGGAUGGACUCGCGGCUUAUCAGCUUGUUGGUGGGGUAGUGGCUUACCAAGGCUUUGACGGGUAGCCGGCCUGAGAGGGUGACCGGCCACAUUGGGACUGAGAUACGGCCCAGACUCCUACGGGAGGCAGCAGUGGGGAAUAUUGCACAAUGGGCGGAAGCCUGAUGCAGCAACGCCGCGUGCGGGAUGACGGCUUUCGGGUUGUAAACCGCUUUCGCCUGUGACGAAGCGUGAGUGACGGUAAUGGGUAAAGAAGCACCGGCUAACUACGUG